ensembl:snoRNA SNORD94 small nucleolar RNA, C/D box 94
CAGGCUGUGAUGAUUGGCGCAGGGGUACGGACCUCAGCUGAAUCAUGGGAGCUGAAUGUAGGUGUGGCUCUGUCCUCCUGCAUGUGGCAGGUGGAUGGGAAGCACUUACAUGAAACUGGUGCCUAAAUCUGAGCCUU